rnacentral:rRNA from 1 species
AAUCAACGCUGGCGGCGUGCCUAACACAUGCAAGUCGAACGGGAAAAGCUCUUUCGGGAGCUGAGUAGAGUGGCGAACGGGUGAGUAACGCGUGGGAAUCUGCCCUUGGAUGGGGGAUAACUCGGGGAAAACCCGGGCUAAUACCGCAUAAGCCCUAAGGGGGAAAGUCGAGAGACGUCGAAGGAGGAGCCCGCGUCCGAUUAGCUGGUAGGUGAGGUAAGAGCUCACCUAGGCGACGAUCGGUAACCGGUCUGAGAGGACGGACGGUCACACUGGGACUGAGACACGGCCCAGACUCCUACGGGAGGCAGCAGUGGGGAAUUUUGCGCAAUGGGGGAAACCCUGACGCAGCAACGCCGCGUGGAGGAAGAAGGCUUUCGAGUCGUAAACUCCUGUCCCCGGGGACGAAGCAAGUGACGGUACCCGGGGAGGAAGCCCCGGCUAACUCCGUG